rnacentral:tRNA from 1 species
GAGAAAUGGGUGGGGACUACUAAUCCCUUGGGCUUACUUAGGUGUAGGAUUUCUUG